rnacentral:rRNA from 1 species
UGGGGAAUUUUGGACAAUGGGCGAAAGCCUGAUCCAGCAAUGCCGCGUGUGUGAAGAAGGCCUUCGGGUUGUAAAGCACUUUUGUCCGGAAAGAAAUCCUUGGCUCUAAUACAGUCGGGGGAUGACGGUACCGGAAGAAUAAGCACCGGCUAACUACGUGCCAGCAGCCGCGGUAAUACGUAGGGUGCAAGCGUUAAUCGGAAUUACUGGGCGUAAAGCGUGCGCAGGCGGUCCGCUAAGACAGAUGUGAAAUCCCCGGGCUUAACCUGGGAACUGCAUUUGUGACUGGCGGGCUAGAGUAUGGCAGAGGGGGGUAGAAUUCCACGUGUAGCAGUGAAAUGCGUAGAGAUGUGGAGGAAUACCGAUGGCGAAGGCAGCCCCCUGGGCCAAUACUACGCUCAUGCACGAAAAGCGUGGGGNGCAAACAGAUUNGAUGCCCUGGUAGCCACGCCCUAAACGAUGUNACUAGUUGUCGGGUCUUCAUUGACUUGGUAACGUAGCUAACGCGUGAAGUUGACCGCCUGGGGAGUACGGUCGCAAGAUUAAAACUCAAAGGAAUUG